rnacentral:pre_miRNA from 1 species
GGAAUAUAAGAACCCGUCUCUUAACUUUUAACUAAAAAAGUUAAGAACCGGUUCUUAACUUUUUUAGUUAAAAGUUAAGAGACGGAUUCUUAUAUUCC